rnacentral:rRNA from 1 species
UACGUAGGGGGCAAGCGUUGUCCGGAUUUAUUGGGCGUAAAGAGCGUGUAGGCGGCCGUACAGGUCAGCUGUGAAAGCUCGAGGCUCAACCUCGAGACGUCGGUUGAAACCGUACGGCUAGAGUCCGGAAGAGGAGAGUGGAAUUCCCGGUGUAGCGGUGAAAUGCGCAGAUAUCGGGAAGAACACCCGUGGCGAAGGCGGCUCUCUGGGACGGUACUGACGCUGAGACGCGAAAGCGUGGGGAGUGAACAGG